rnacentral:rRNA from 1 species
GACCCCGCACAAGCGGCGGAGCAUGCGGCUUAAUUCGAUGAUACCCGUAGAACCUUACCUGGACUUGACAUAUAGGGUCAAGCUAUAGAGAUAUAGUGUGCAUUAGCGCCCUAUACAGGUGGUGCAUGGCUGUCGUCAGCUCGUGUCGUGAGAUGUUGGGUUAAGUCCCGCAACGAGCGCAACCCCCUGUCCUAUGUUGCCAGCAUUUAGUUGGGGACUCAUAGGAGACUGCCGUGAUAAACCGGAGGAAGGUGGGACGACGUCAAGUAUCAUGCCCCUUAUGUCCAGGGCUGCACGCAUGCUACAAUGGCAAGUACAACGAGUCGCAAAACGCGAGGUGGAGCA